UUAAACGGCCGCGGUAUUUUGACCGUGCAAAGGUAGCGCAAUCACUCGUCCUCUAAAUAGGGACCUGUAUGAAUGGCUAAACGAGGGCUAAACUGUCUCCUUUUUUCAGUCAGUGAAAUUGAUCCACCCGUGCAGAAGCGGGCAUAAGUAUACAAGACGAGAAGACCCUAUGGAGCUUUAGGCAAAGCCUCUAAUUAUGUCAAACAAGUACAAAUAAGUACAAGAACUCAAUAAGAACUAGAGACUUGCCUUCGGUUGGGGCGACCAAGGAGAACAAAAUAUCCUCCUAGUGGACUAGGAAAAUCCUAGAACUAAGAAAAAUUCUUCUAAGGCACAGAAUAUCUGACCAAACAUGAUCCGGCCAAGGCCGAUCAACGGACCUAGUUACCCUAGGGAUAACAGCGCAAUCCUCUUCAAGAGUCCCUAUCGACAAGGGGGUUUACGACCUCGAUGUUGGAUCAGG
rnacentral:rRNA from 1 species